UUAAGCGACUAAGCGUACACGGUGGAUGCCCUGGCAGUCAGAGGCGAUGAAGGACGUGCUAAUCUGCGAUAAGCGUCGGUGAGGUGAUAUGAACCGUUAUAACCGGCGAUUUCCGAAUGGGGAAACCCAGUGUGUUUCGACACACUAUCAUUAACUGAAUCCAUAGGUUAAUGAGGCGAACCGGGGGAACUGAAACAUCUAAGUACCCCGAGGAAAAGAAAUCAACCGAGAUUCCCCCAGUAGCGGCGAGCGAACGGGGAGGAGCCCAGAGCCUGAAUCAGUGUGUGUGUUAGUGGAAGCGUCUGGAAAGGCGUGCGAUACAGGGUGACAGCCCCGUACACAAAAAUGCACAUAUUGUGAGCUCGAUGAGUAGGGCGGGACACGUGGUAUCCUGUCUGAAUAUGGGGGGACCAUCCUCCAAGGCUAAAUACUCCUGACUGACCGAUAGUGAACCAGUACCGUGAGGGAAAGGCGAAAAGAACCCCGGCGAGGGGAGUGAAAAAGAACCUGAAACCGUGUACGUACAAGCAGUGGGAGCCUCUUAAUGGGGUGACUGCGUACCUUUUGUAUAAUGGGUCAGCGACUUAUAUUCUGUAGCAAGGUUAACCGAAUAGGGGAGCCGAAGGGAAACCGAGUCUUAACUGGGCGUUAAGUUGCAGGGUAUAGACCCGAAACCCGGUGAUCUAGCCAUGGGCAGGUUGAAGGUUGGGUAACACUAACUGGAGGACCGAACCGACUAAUGUUGAAAAAUUAGCGGAUGACUUGUGGCUGGGGGUGAAAGGCCAAUCAAACCGGGAGAUAGCUGGUUCUCCCCGAAAGCUAUUUAGGUAGCGCCUCGUGAAUUCAUCUCCGGGGGUAGAGCACUGUUUCGGCAAGGGGGUCAUCCCGACUUACCAACCCGAUGCAAACUGCGAAUACCGGAGAAUGUUAUCACGGGAGGCACACGGCGGGUGCUAACGUCCGUCGUGAAGAGGGAAACAACCCAGACCGCCAGCUAAGGUCCCAAAGUCAUGGUUAAGUGGGAAACGAUGUGGGAAGGCCCAGACAGCCAGGAUGUUGGCUUAGAAGCAGCCAUCAUUUAAAGAAAGCGUAAUAGCUCACUGGUCGAGUCGGCCUGCGCGGAAGAUGUAACGGGGCUAAACCAUGCACCGAAGCUGCGGCAGCGACACUAUGUGUUGUUGGGUAGGGGAGCGUUCUGUAAGCCUGUGAAGGUGGCCUGUGAGGGUUGCUGGAGGUAUCAGAAGUGCGAAUGCUGACAUAAGUAACGAUAAAGCGGGUGAAAAGCCCGCUCGCCGGAAGACCAAGGGUUCCUGUCCAACGUUAAUCGGGGCAGGGUGAGUCGACCCCUAAGGCGAGGCCGAAAGGCGUAGUCGAUGGGAAACAGGUUAAUAUUCCUGUACUUGGUGUUACUGCGAAGGGGGGACGGAGAAGGCUAUGUUGGCCGGGCGACGGUUGUCCCGGUUUAAGCGUGUAGGCUGGUUUUCCAGGCAAAUCCGGAAAACCAAGGCUGAGGCGUGAUGACGAGGCACUACGGUGCUGAAGUGACAAAUGCCCUGCUUCCAGGAAAAGCCUCUAAGCAUCAGGUAACAUCAAAUCGUACCCAAAACCGACACAGGUGGUCAGGUAGAGAAUACCAAGGCGCUUGAGAGAACUCGGGUGAAGGAACUAGGCAAAAUGGUGCCGUAACUUCGGGAGAAGGCACGCUGAUAUGUAGGUGAAGCGACUUGCUCGUGGAGCUGAAAUCAGUCGAAGAUACCAGCUGGCUGCAACUGUUUAUUAAAAACACAGCACUGUGCAAACACGAAAGUGGACGUAUACGGUGUGACGCCUGCCCGGUGCCGGAAGGUUAAUUGAUGGGGUUAGCGGUAACGCGAAGCUCUUGAUCGAAGCCCCGGUAAACGGCGGCCGUAACUAUAACGGUCCUAAGGUAGCGAAAUUCCUUGUCGGGUAAGUUCCGACCUGCACGAAUGGCGUAAUGAUGGCCAGGCUGUCUCCACCCGAGACUCAGUGAAAUUGAACUCGCUGUGAAGAUGCAGUGUACCCGCGGCAAGACGGAAAGACCCCGUGAACCUUUACUAUAGCUUGACACUGAACAUUGAGCCUUGAUGUGUAGGAUAGGUGGGAGGCUUUGAAGUGUGGACGCCAGUCUGCAUGGAGCCGACCUUGAAAUACCACCCUUUAAUGUUUGAUGUUCUAACGUUGGCCCGUAAUCCGGGUUGCGGACAGUGUCUGGUGGGUAGUUUGACUGGGGCGGUCUCCUCCUAAAGAGUAACGGAGGAGCACGAAGGUUGGCUAAUCCUGGUCGGACAUCAGGAGGUUAGUGCAAUGGCAUAAGCCAGCUUGACUGCGAGCGUGACGGCGCGAGCAGGUGCGAAAGCAGGUCAUAGUGAUCCGGUGGUUCUGAAUGGAAGGGCCAUCGCUCAACGGAUAAAAGGUACUCCGGGGAUAACAGGCUGAUACCGCCCAAGAGUUCAUAUCGACGGCGGUGUUUGGCACCUCGAUGUCGGCUCAUCACAUCCUGGGGCUGAAGUAGGUCCCAAGGGUAUGGCUGUUCGCCAUUUAAAGUGGUACGCGAGCUGGGUUUAGAACGUCGUGAGACAGUUCGGUCCCUAUCUGCCGUGGGCGCUGGAGAACUGAGGGGGGCUGCUCCUAGUACGAGAGGACCGGAGUGGACGCAUCACUGGUGUUCGGGUUGUCAUGCCAAUGGCACUGCCCGGUAGCUAAAUGCGGAAGAGAUAAGUGCUGAAAGCAUCUAAGCACGAAACUUGCCCCGAGAUGAGUUCUCCCUGACUCCUUGAG
rnacentral:rRNA from 1 species